GACAAGGAGGCUGUCUUUGAUGUCGUAGACACCCUGAAUGCUGUGCUCCAGGUUGCCACUGGAGUGAUUUCCACCCUCCAGAUCAACAAGGAGAACAUGGAGAAGGCACUGAGCCCUGAGAUCCUGUCAUCCGACCUGGCUCUCUACUUGGUUCACAAAGGAAUGCCCUUCAGACAAGCCCAUAUCGCUGCUGGAAAGGCCGUCCACCUCGCCGAGACCAAAGGCAUCACCAUCAACAAUCUCAGCCUGGAGGACCUGAAG